rnacentral:ncRNA from 1 species
CUGCACCCCUCGCCAGAGGGUGCCCUGAAACCCAGGGUUAAACGGGAAGCCGGUGUAAGACCGGCACUGCCCCCGCAACGGUGAUUGGGUAAGGAAAACAGCACAGGCCACUGCGAUCCGAUCGUGGGAAGGCGCUGUUUGCCGCAGCAUUACCGCCCAUCAGUCCGGAGACCGGCCUUCUGCUGUUUCCAACC